rnacentral:rRNA from 1 species
GACGAACGCUGGCGGCGUGUUUAACACAUGCAAGUCGAACGGAAAGGCCCUGCUUUUGUGGGGUGCUCGAGUGGCGAACGGGUGAGUAACACGUGAGUAACCUGCCCUUGACUUUGGGAUAACUUCAGGAAACUGGGGCUAAUACCGGAUAGGAGCUCCUGCUGCAUGGUGGGGGUUGGAAAGUUUCGGCGGUUGGGGAUGGACUCGCGGCUUAUCAGCUUGUUGGUGGGGUAGUGGCUUACCAAGGCUUUGACGGGUAGCCGGCCUGAGAGGGUGACCGGCCACAUUGGGACUGAGAUACGGCCCAGACUCCUACGGGAGGCAGCAGUGGGGAAUAUUGCACAAUGGGCGGAAGCCUGAUGCAGCAACGCCGCGUGCGGGAUGACGGCCUUCGGGUUGUAAACCGCUUUCGCCUGUGACGAAGCGUGAGUGACGGUAAUGGU